rnacentral:lncRNA from 1 species
ACGUCAGCUCUUUGAAUAAGAUGAAAAAGUACAGUCCCCAUUUAGGCAGGAAAGGUUAAUUGGGACUCACAAAUUACACCCUAAACCAUUUUGAUUAAAUAAAAUACAUGCUUCAUGCACAUGUGGUUCUGCCUCUUUAUCUCUUUUUGUGUCUGUUGUUAACUUCUUUAAUCAAUGUUCUGGCCAACACUAAAUCCACAAGUGGAAUCAGCUCAUAUUCAUGUACAUCACUUCCUUUAAUGUAAACUUUUGUAGUUCUAUGCAUCUGAAUCAAUCACAAACCAUAAUCUAAUUUGGAUUGCUGGGGCCUAAAAUCGUCUCCAUAUAUCGAUCCCUGUCGCUCAAAAACUUCGUUGAGUUGUAAUCUUCUGCAGCAUAUAGUUCUUCUGAGUACGUCCUAUGAAGUUUCGAUUUCUGCCUCUCUUUCAAAAUUCUCAAACUCUCUUCUUCACCUCUUAGUAUCUGUACGACCUGUAUUGGUUCAAGAAAAAUAUAUUAGUAAGAUCCUCAACAAUGCAUCAAUUUUGCUUCUAUGAUUCUUUUUUCGUGUUAGUAAGGUGUUUACUGGCGUCAACUCACUAACUGUAUGCUUGGAAACAUGGUAGCUCACCUUGAAAAGAGUAUUGGGCGUGAGGGGUGUGGGAAAAAUCCUUCACUUUGGAUAGAUAAGACUCUUGAGAGGAGUUUAUAAAGAGGAGACAAUCCUCACCUUACAAGCCAAGCCGGUUUUAUAAGGUGAGGAUUGCCUCCUCUUUAUAAACUCUUCUCAAGAGUCUUAUCUAUCCGAUGUGGGACUUGGAUUUUUCCCAAUAGAUGUAGCUUUUGUCAUCAUGGAAAAAUGAUUUCCAAGAGACACUAAGUUUUUCUUUCCAGCAAAAUUAUUAGAAUUUAAUUUUGUCAAACUUUUUUUGCUUGCAAACCUCAAUUCGAUUAGAACUGACGUAAAACUAGCCUUUGCAUUCAGAGCCGGCCCAACACUUAUUGAGGCUUAAAGCGAACUCAAAAGAGCGGUCGUGACAAAAAAUAGAGGUAUUUUUAAUCUUCAUAAUACUUUUACCAACUUGGACCUUGGGUAGGCCAUGUUUGUUUUAGAUUGAAAAAUUUACACUAAAUUUUACAUCAAAUGAGUAAUAUCCAAAGGUAAAUCAUUUCACUUCAAACUCAAUUGUAAUGAAAUCAAUUUAUAAAAAUCUAUUCCAUUUAAAAUACUUGGAUAAGCAAAUAGAUAUGGUAAAAAUUAGUUUUAGUUAGGAAGAUACUUGGAUAAGCAAAUAUGCAAUAUGAAACUCAUAUAUAGAAAGUACAUGCCUGACUCAUAUGCGGUCGCUGUAUUGAGGACUGAUCUAUACACAUAGAAGCAGCUAAUAUUACAAGUUUCAUCUGUUCUGCAUCAUAAGCAUCAUCCAAAACUGGAUCAACUAGCUCUUUGAUGUUAUUACUAGUUAGCAAAGGUUUUGCCUGCCACAUUUAUUUUUCAUAAGAGUGUAUAAGAAUUGACCUUUUCAACAUCAAGAUGAUCAAUAAACAGAAUGCAAUAGCAGACACUUACCCACAUCACCAGACUUUUUUGUGAACUAUCCAAAGCUUGUCUCCCAGUAAUGAGCUCCAAUAAUAGUACACCAUAAGCAUAUACAUCAGUUUUUUCAUCUACUAUACCAUGCAUGAAGAAUUCAGGAGGAAGAUAGCUGUUUUGACAUUCACCAGAAGAAAAAUUUGUUAUAAGUUAAAUACUAGGUGAAAAGAGUACUGAAAAUGUGAAGAACUUGUGAAGCUGCUAAAAGAUACAAACCCAAAUGUGCCUUCCACUUUGGAGACAGUAUGGUGAGUCCAUUGAUCAGGUAACCACUUUGCAAGCCCAAAAUCAGAUAUCUGGUUUAAGAUUGGAGUUAAAAUUGUUACAAGAAACUUAGAUGAAACAAAAGUGCAUCUUUGGAUUGACAAUGAGUUUGACAGAAUCAGGUGUCCUUCGUGAUUUUGGCGAAAGUUACAUUUUGAAACUUCAACAAAAUCAUGUUAAUGUGAUUUUGGUAAACGCACAAAUUGUUGUUGAUUUAGAAUAUAAGAAUUAUAAUAUUUGCUGAAAAAUGCAUGUUUCAUAAAGAAUCAGAUUUGUGAGUCAUAAGAAGGACCUGAGGCUCAAAGUCCUCUGAGAGAAGUAUAUUAGAAGCUUUGAUAUCUUUGUGAAUAAUCCUUCUUUGACAUCCCUCAUGCAGAUAGUGAAGACCCUCAGCAGUCCCCAAAGUAAUCCUAUAUCUAAGGCUCCAAUUCAGUUUCUCUCUAGGUCCUGAAAUCCAUAAAAGGAAAGAAAUCAACCUUAAUUAAGUGAUUAUCAUAUAAGAUUGUGUAAGUUUUUUCUAUAACAAAAGAUAAAAUAAAGUCAAAUUAUUUUCUUACUAGUUAUAAGUUGUUUUCAUAAGCUAUCUUGAAGAGUUUAUAGAAAUAAGAUGAAAACAAUUUAAUCAUGAACAUGUCAUGAGAAGUUUCUAUAAGCUCUCUCAAACAAUCUCGUAGGUGAUUAUAUCAGUAGAUAAGUUCAAAUAAGUUAAUUCAAAAAGACUCUUGGAUUUGCAAAGAAAUAGAAAUUUUGAAACAUACCGUAGAGUAAGGAUGACAAGCUUCCAUGAGGAGACAAUUGAAGAACAAGAAACAUUCCACCUUCAACACCAUAUCCAAUCAAUCUAGCAAUAUUGGGGUGAUCCACAUGCACUAUAAUGCCAAGCUCAGACAAAAAGUCUGCAGUCAUUUCUUCUUGGCAACCUCUUGUCAACCUUUUAAUGGCAACAAAGUUUCCAUCUUCCAGUUUUCCUAAGUAAACCUCGGCAUAGCCUCCCUCCCCAAUCAAAUUAUCUUCAAAAAUAAAUACAUAAAACCUUAUAAGUCUAACAAGCUAUGACAAAACACAGACACGGCACCGGCACAGGUCCAACUACUUUGACUACAAGAUUAUUUCAUUUAGGGUAAGAGUUGUGAGUUUGAUCAGUCGUUUUGAAAUCUUUGAAACGGCACCGGCACAGGUGAACACAUAAGUGAUUGAAUAUAAUCAAACUUAUCGGUGCCUGACACUAACACGUGUCAGGCAAUGAGCACAUAUUCAAUCUAAAGUGUCGAUGUGACAUACCUUGGCUAAAGUCAUUGGUUGCAGCUUGGAUUUCUGCGAGAGUGAAAUUUUUCCAUGAAGAUUUGAAGCACAUAAACUCAGAAUCAAAAGAAGACUGAAGAGCUGGAGAAUUGAGAGAUGGAAUGAAUUCCUCCCUAAUUCUUUUGCUCUUUCGUCUAGUAAGUUUUGGAACAUUUUUCAGUGGAUGAAAGGUAUGAAAUGGCAUUUGUGGUCCCUUUUUGAUUAAUUUAAAGAAACCUCGCCAUUGUCUUGUACCUCCCUCGGAAUCAGAAGUGCUUGCCCUUGAACUUGGUGUAUCAGAUUCUUGACUUCUAGGUGAAUACUCGGAUUGGUCUCCGUUCUCAGUCUCUAAAACUGACAAGUCUAAUAACAUAUAUGGUACAUUCAUUCAAACAUUAGUACAGCAAAUAAAUAAUUGAACUGUUUUCUUAUUGAAUUAGUGACGGAAAAUUUGAGACGGAAAAAAUGAAAUCCGUCUCUAAUUUGGUCGGUAAUUCAACCUUCUUUUAGUAGAGAUGGAAUUAAAGAGUAAAGAUAAAAGGAUUGAAAUUAAUUAUUACCAAUAUUAGAAAAAGAAUCAGAAAAUCCAGGUCGUGGUCGUCUGCCUCUGCUGUCUCUUAAUAAAUUGAUACUCUCCUUUUUUUCUAAUUUUUUUCUGUCUGGCUUGUGAACGUCAUUUCUGCCAAUAUAUCAAUCUCCUUUGUCAGCACACACUAAAUAAUUAAUGUGACACAAUGUACAUUGUCAAAAUUUCCAAUAAAAUAACCCAGCAUAAUAAUAGUAAUAACAUAGGAACAAGAUAGGCCAAAAGUUUGGUAUUACGGUGGGGUUGUUGAAAUCACGUUGAGACACCAUGAUUUUGCAAACGCUAAACCCGGAAAACCUACGUGAUAUCAAACAUAUAAAACAUCAUUUAUGUUGGAAUACAUUCAUCUAAAUAUAAAAGUGAGUAAACAAUAAAUUCAAGAUUGAAAAUCAAUUGUAGAGUCAAAAACACUAAAUUCUAGCUCUAAAUUCUACUCGAGAGGAUAUAAACGUGUCAAAAUCAAUUCUAUGAAUCUCGAAAUGAUUUUGUAUUUUUCAAACGUGGAACCGAAACCAAACAUACACAAAGACAUGUCCGAAACAAAAUAUAUCAACACAAGUACACAACAUCAAUCAAUACACAUGUAUAAAAAUUAAUGGUACAUUAAGCAAAAAAAAGUCAACUUACUUGCAUGUAAAAUCAAUAUAGAUUAUUAUUAAGGAAACAUUACAGAUAUAAUACCAUAUUAAUUAAUGAAUGAGAUGGAAAUAACGUUGCAUGCAUGCAUGCACGUAUAAAGAAAUGAACUCAAAAUGUUUAAGAAAAGGUGGUAUUACCUCGAGAAAGAAGGCUGUGGUGGUUCUCGUUGUUCAUCGCUCAUGAUGGCGAUGGAAAAAGGUAGGAGGAGACACCGAGAACCAAGAAGAACGAGAAUGACGCGCACGGAUAGAGUCAGCAAGAAGAGAGAGAGAGAAAGAGAGAUGGAAGAAAGACAUGAAAAUGAAAGAAAUGGUUGGCAUCAUUUCUCUGUCCCUACGUUCUUCUAACUUCUUACUACACACCCGAUUUUUUAUCCUCAAAUUUCGUUCAACUUUACAGGAAUAUGCUCAUUGAUUUUGUAUAUAUUCCUAUUACAUAUAUUUUCUUAACAAAAAAUAUAUAAAAAGCUUAAUUUUUUUUUCUUUAUAUUUAUGAUACAUAAAUUUAAUUUUUAUGUAUGGACAAGGCUUGUCAACUCACUUGUCCUUAAAUAUAUGGAAUCAUUUCUUGUCAAAAAUUAAAGGAUAAAUUCUUUUCCCUCCCUCCACAUCUGAUUCGAAUAGUAAAAUCCGAAAAAAUAUAGGGUUACGUUGGAGGAUGUUUUCAGUUACACCUUUUAAAUUAUUUAAUCUAAAAUGUUGCAGGACGUGUAAGAAGCUAAUAGGGUGGGAUAAGAAAUUGUCAAAUUAAAGUUGACAUCAUGGUUAUAAGAACUUAGUUUCACGAGACUAAGUUGGUCCAUGAACAUAAUUUUUACGAAGAUAUCACAGUUCAUUUUAGAUCCAGCGAACAGAGAACAGACAAGUAGUCGACGAGGAAUGCAACACAACAUCAUCUAGAGUGCAAUUGUUACGGUAAUCAUAUGGUGUUGGGAUUUCAAAAGGGUUUUUCAAAAUUUUAAUUCUCUUAGCGGAAUAAAUCUUGAUGAACGAAUAUUAAUUAAUUAAAUCAUUAAUCACAAAUCAAAGCAUUUUAAGGAUUCAUAUGUUUAUCUCUUGAAGCACAGAUCCUUUAAAGUCAAACUCUUAGAGUUAGUAAUCACAAGCACUACUCGACGACAACACCUCUACUCAGUCCACACAAACAUAUUCUUCAAUCACGGUCCUACCUGCUUACGGAUGAAGGCUUGGAGAAAGAUGGACAGGUUUUAUAGGGUUUCAGAAAACUAGGGCUUAUGAAUCAUAAAAUUUAGUUAAGUGUAAUCUUGAUUUAGCAUAAGAGUUCUAUUUAAUUUAUAGUACCACUUGUGUGAUAUGCAAGUCUAGCAGACACUAUUGGGCUUAUGUAAGCCUUAUAACUUAUUCGAUGGCUUUGCUAACCAAUUAGCUCAAUAUACUAAUUGCACCCUCAAGUAAUAAGUCUCACUUAUACGUCUCACUUAUGUGUCCUUUUGUGUGUGACCAUGUAGGCUCUUGUAACUUUGACAAUGAUAUUAAAUUUUAUUUUGAACAAUAAUAUUAAAUUUUAUUGUUAAUAUUACAUACAGAGAGCGGUAUCUAGAAACACAUCACGACUACCUAAGUGACAAGAAUGUCAUAUGAUCUGACGAAACUUUUCCGUGAUAUCUUGUGUAUAAUUACUUUUUGGCCCUCAUGUCUAUAUUGAACACAAGACAUAGUGUGUCACCCUUGUCCAGUUCAAUAGUGAGACUUUAGACAUUUCCAUUAUUAUGUAAGAGGGAUAAAUUCCAUCUAGGUCACUCAUGUCCCUCUGCAUGAUUUGUGUAAUACCCAUCAACCGACUUUAUAGUCAUCGUGUCAUAGACAACGUUUAAACAGAAACAAAAGUACUCGACUCCUACAUCUAGGGAACAUAGUGAUUUCAGGCCGAAGGGUGGAAUACACCACUUAUCACUAUGAGAAUAGUUUAUGUCACUUACAUAAUUUUCUAUGUAGCGUUCUUAUGGAGGAUCAAUCCAAUAUAAAUAUUACUCCUGAGAUUUAUACCUAUGUGAAGAUACUUGAUAAAUCUUUAUUUAUAAUCUGUGAGAUAUGAUCAUUAGUCUACCCAUAUAAUAAUCUUUAUGCCUUACUACUAUCUUAUUUCAUAGGAAAACUUUUGACUAGGAAAACUUUAAGAAUAAUGUCUUUUAGUUUAACGAAGUAUCACGAUCAAUUAAGUCACACUUAAUGUUCCAUUAAACGGUUUGAUUCCCAUCUCUGGCAUUUUUAAAAAUCUAUUUAACUAAAAAGUCAGAUUGAAAAUUUUAACAAAAAAAAAAUUAUGGCUUACGAGGCAAGCUUAGUUAAGUAAUUUUUUUUCAUCUGGAAGUAAAUAUAAAUAAUAAUUUUUUAUUAUUAUUAUUAUUUUAGAUUUUGUAUUUAUAUUAAAUCAUUUUUUUAGUUUGGACUUAAACUCUGGUCUUUAUCUGUCACCAAAAAAAAAAAAAAAAAAAAACUCUGGUCUUAUAACUUAUAACUUCUUAGAUUCUUAAAUUAAAUGGUUGAACUACUAAAUAUUUAAAGGUAUUAUUAAAAUGCUAUAAUUUAAACAAGAUGUCGUGUAAAGUCAAGAUUGUUUUAAUCGUAUUCAUAGAGCUUACUUGUUAAAUUUGGUCAAUGAUAGAUUAAUUUAGAGGUGAUUUUAUUUGGUCUAAAUAAAUUUUAUAUGAGCACAACGUUAAAGAAAUAGUUGUGUUCUCUUGUAUUAAUCAUGUCCCUAGGCUUACUUCCUAAAUUUAAAAUAAAAAGAAUAUGAGUUUAUUCACUUAUACAUUGUCUAAUUCUCACGUUUUCAUCCAAUGUGGGAUUCCCUUACUCACAUUUUAAGCACCAACACCAAGUAGUGAAAAUCCCCUAAAAGGACAUUAAAGGUAACCUAAUAUUUAUCAGAAAAAGUAAUUCCCUUAAUUCAAAGAAUAUAUAUUUUUCCACAAAAUGAUAAUUAACAUGUAGUAAUUCGCAGUUGGGAAAAAGAAGCUGAAGUAGAGGAAAUAUCAGGCAUUACAAGCUAGGAAUCAAUUUAUUUAUUAUGUGAUUAAACUUCAUCAAGAAUAAUAAAUUAAUGGACAUUGCGACUAAUCAAUCCUUCAAAUAUAGUAUACAGAUCUUUGUUUUCAGGCCCAAAGAUCUCAUCAGCUUUCUUUAAUGUCUCCUGCAAUUUCACAAACACAAUAGAGGAAGGCAAUUAAGUUAAAUUCAGAUACAAAUGUUACCAUAAAAAAAGGGAAAAGGAGAUGCAUGAGGGUUCACCUCUUUUGUUUGUUUGUGGGAAUUCAGUUCCUUAACAUUUGCUAAAAAUGCACCAAACUGCUCAUAAGACAAACGGCUCCUAAUCAUAACAAACAUGGAUAAAUUAUGAGUGAAGGAUUCAAAAGUUAAGUAUCAAACACAAAAUUAAACAAUUUUGCUACCACUACCAGAUUGAAAUGCUAUACUUCUAAAAUGUCAUUUUAAAUUGUAAAUUGAUUGAAUUACUUGUCAAAGCUGAUAGGUUGAUGAAUAAAACCAUGGAUCUUAAGAAGUUCCUUUCAAGUUGUUUGUAAAUUAAUCUAAUGAAAUUAUGAAGCUAGCGUAGUUGAGUAAGAACUUGAUGCUUUUUGAAAUCUUAGUAUAAGCACUUGUGACUUGUGAGACUGUUUGAUAGAACUUAUGUAAAUAGCUUAUGGCAUGUCCAUAAGUCAUUUUUAGCUUAUUUUCAUAAGCUCUCAAGCAUAGCUUAUGAAAACAACCUAUAGCUUAUAUGAAUAUAAUUUGACCUUAUUUUAUCUUUUGUGUAGAAAUAGGUUAAACAUAAGUACUUAUAUGAUUAAGUUGUUUAUCUAAAUAGGAUCAAAAUACCCUUAAUUACCUGACUUGGCGAAAGAACUCCUUUCCAUCCACCCGAGUUCGUGCUGAGACAAGAAAAAAGAAAAUAUGUGAG